rfam:Cucumis melo, WGS project CAJI01000000 data, contig: 17113
GAAUGAAAUGAGGAACAUUGAUGAUUUUGAUUGCUGUCAUGAUGGCAAUUAUUGUAUUAGCUCUAUCUGAUCAUUC